CACGUAGGGACGAGCGUUGUCCGGAUUCAUUGGGCGUAAAGCGCGCGUAGGCGGCUCGGAAAGUCGGUCGUGAAAUGCCGGGGCUCAACCCCGGGACUGCGUCCGAUACUCCCGAGCUGGAGGCAGGUAGGGGAGAUCGGAAUUCCUGGUGUAGCGGUGAAAUGCGCAGAUAUCAGGAGGAACACCGGUGGCGAAGGCGGGUCUCUGGGCCGAUGACUGACGCUGAGGAGCGAAAGCGUGGGGAGCGAACAGG
rnacentral:rRNA from 1 species